rnacentral:rRNA from 1 species
UGUGUUAGUGGAAGCGUCUGGAAAGGCGCGCGAUACAGGGUGACAGCCCCGUACACAAAAGCGCAUGUGCUGUGAGCUCGAUGAGUAGGGCGGGACACGUGGUAUCCUGUCUGAAUAUGGGGGGACCAUCCUCCAAGGCUAAAUACUCCUGACUGACCGAUAGUGAACCAGUACCGUGAGGGAAAGGCGAAAAGAACCCCGGCGAGGGGAGUGAAACAGAACCUGAAACCGUGUACGUACAAGCAGUGGGAGCACAGGUUUACCUGUGUGACUGCGUACCUUUUGUAUAAUGGGUCAGCGACUUAUAUUCUGUAGCAAGGUUAACCGAAUAGGGGAGCCGGAGGGAAACCGAGUCUUAAUUGGGCGUUAAGUUGCAGGGUAUAGACCCGAAACCCGGUGAUCUAGCCAUGGGCAGGUUGAAGGUUGGGUAACACUAACUGGAGGACCGAACCGACUAAUGUUGAAAAAUUAGCGGAUGACCUGUGGCUGGGGGUGAAAGGCCAAUCAAACCGGGAGAUAGCUGGUUCUCCCCGAAAGCUAUUUAGGUAGCGCCUCGUGAAUUCAUCUCCGGGGGUAGAGCACUGUUUCGGCCAGGGGGUCAUCCCGACUUACCAACCCGAUGCAAACUGCGAAUACCGGAGAAUGUUAUCACGGGAGACACACGGCGGGUGCUAACGUCCGUCGUGAAGAGGGAAACAACCCAGACCGCCAGCUAAGGUCCCAAAGUCAUGGUUAAGUGGGAAACGAUGUGGGAAGGCCCAGACAGCCAGGAUGUUGGCUUAGAAGCAGCCAUCAUUUAAAGAAAGCGUAAUAGCUCACUGGUCGAGUCGGCCUGCGCGGAAGAUGUAACGGGGCUAAACCAUGCACCGAAGCUGCGGCAGCGACACUAAGUGUUGUUGGGUAGGGGAGCGUUCUGUAAGCCUGCGAAGGUGUGUCGUGAGGCAUGCUGGAGGUAUCAGAAGUGCGAAUGCUGACAUAAGUAACGAUAAUGCGGGUGAAAAACCCGCACGCCGGAAGACCAAGGGUUCCUGUCCAACGUUAAUCGGGGCAGGGUGAGUCGACCCCUAAGGCGAGGCCGAAAGGCGUAGUCGAUGGGAAACGGGUUAAUAUUCCCGUACCUGGUGUUACUGCGAAGGGGGGACGGAGAAGGCUAUGUUGGCCGGGCGACGGUUGUCCCGGUUUAAGCGUG